GAUGAAGAACGUAGCGAAAUGCGAUAAGUAAUGUGAAUUGCAGAAUUCAGUGAAUCAUCGAAUCUUUGAACGCACAUUGCGCCCGCUAGUAUUCUGGCGGGCAUGCCUGUCCGAGCGUCAUUUCAACCCUCAAGCCCCCGGGCUUGGUGUUGAGGAUCGGCGAGCCUCCGCGCCCGCCGUCCCCUAAAUCUAGUGGCGGUCUCGCUGUAGCUUCCUCUGCGUAGUAGCACACCUCGCACUGGGAAACAGCGCGGCCACGCCGUUAAACCCCCAACUUCUGAACGUUUGACCUCGGAUCAGGUAGGAAUACCCGCUGAACUUAAGCAUAUCAAUAAGCGGAGGA
rnacentral:misc_RNA from 1 species